rnacentral:rRNA from 1 species
AAAUUGAAGAGUUUGAUCAUGGCUCAGAUUGAACGCUGGCGGCAGGCCUAACACAUGCAAGUCGAACGGUAACAGGAAGCAGCUUGCUGCUUUGCUGACGAGUGGCGGACGGGUGAGUAAUGUCUGGGAAACUGCCUGAUGGAGGGGGAUAACUACUGGAAACGGUGGCUAAUACCGCAUAACGUCGCAAGACCAAAGAGGGGGACCUUCGGGCCUCUUGCCAUCAGAUGUGCCCAGAUGGGAUUAGCUUGUUGGUGAGGUAACGGCUCACCAAGGCGACGAUCCCUAGCUGGUCUGAGAGGAUGACCAGCCACACUGGAACUGAGACACGGUCCAGACUCCUACGGGAGGCAGCAGUGGGGAAUAUUGCACAAUGGGCGCAAGCCUGAUGCAGCCAUGCCGCGUGUAUGAAGAAGGCCUUCGGGUUGUAAAGUACUUUCAGCGGGGAGGAAGGUGUUGUGGUUAAUAACCACAGCAAUUGACGUUACCCGCAGAAGAAGCACCGGCUAACUCCGUGCCAGCAGCCGCGGUAAUACGGAGGGUGCAAGCGUUAAUCGGAAUUACUGGGCGUAAAGCGCACGCAGGCGGUCUGUCAAGUCGGAUGUGAAAUCCCCGGGCUCAACCUGGGAACUGCAUUCGAAACUGGCAGGCUUGAGUCUUGUAGAGGGGGGUGGAAUUCCAGGUGUAGCGGUGAAAUGCGUAGAGAUCUGGAGGAAUACCGGUGGCGAAGGCGACCCCCUGGACAAAGACUGACGCUCAGGUGCGAAAGCGUGGGGAGCAAACAGGAUUAGAUACCCUGGUAGUCCACGCCGUAAACGAUGUCUACUUGGAGGUUGUGCCCUUGAGGCGUGGCUUCCGGAGCUAACGCGUUAAGUAGACCGCCUGGGGAGUACGGCCGCAAGGUUAAAACUCAAAUGAAUUGACGGGGGCCCGCACAAGCGGUGGAGCAUGUGGUUUAAUUCGAUGCAACGCGAAGAACCUUACCUGGUCUUGACAUCCACGGAAGUUUUCAGAGAUGAGAAUGUGCCUUCGGGAACCGUGAGACAGGUGCUGCAUGGCUGUCGUCAGCUCGUGUUGUGAAAUGUUGGGUUAAGUCCCGCAACGAGCGCAACCCUUAUCCUUUGUUGCCAGCGAUUAGGUCGGGAACUCAAAGGAGACUGCCAGUGAUAAACUGGAGGAAGGUGGGGAUGACGUCAAGUCAUCAUGGCCCUUACGACCAGGGCUACACACGUGCUACAAUGGCGCAUACAAAGAGAAGCGACCUCGCGAGAGCAAGCGGACCUCAUAAAGUGCGUCGUAGUCCGGAUUGGAGUCUGCAACUCGACUCCAUGAAGUCGGAAUCGCUAGUAAUCGUGGAUCAGAAUGCCACGGUGAAUACGUUCCCGGGCCUUGUACACACCGCCCGUCACACCAUGGGAGUGGGUUGCAAAAGAAGUAGGUAGCUUAACCUUCGGGAGGGCGCUUACCACUUUGUGAUUCAUGACUGGGGUGAAGUCGUAACAAGGUAACCGUAGGGGAACCUGCGGUUGGAUCACCUCCUUACCUGAAAGAA